rnacentral:rRNA from 1 species
GAUGAACGCUGGCGGCGUGCCUAAUACAUGCAAGUCGAGCGAACGGACGAGAAGCUUGCUUUUCUGAUGUUAGCGGCGGACGGGUGAGUAACACGUGGAUAACCUACCUAUAAGACUGGGAUAACUUCGGGAAACCGGAGCUAAUACCGGAUAAUAUUUUGAACCGCAUGGUUCAAAAGUGAAAGACGGUCUUGCUGUCACUUAUAGAUGGAUCCGCGCUGCAUUAGCUAGUUGGUAAGGUGACGGCUUACCAAGGCAACGAUGCAUAGCCGACCUGAGAGGGUGAUCGGCCACACUGGAACUGAGACACGGUCCAGACUCCUACGGGAGGCAGCAGUAGGGAAUCUUCCGCAAUGGGCGAAAGCCUGACAGAGCAACGCCGCGUGAGUGAUGAAGGUCUUCGGAUCGUAAAACUCUGUUAUUAGGGAAGAACAUAUGUGUAAGUAACUGUGCACAUCUUGACGGUACCUAAUCAGAAAGCCACGGCUAACUACGUG